rnacentral:rRNA from 1 species
GCAGCUAUAGAUAGUACUUGAUGUUGAUUAUCCAACGUGGAUAACUGUGGCAAUUCUAGAGCUAAUACAUGCACCAAAGCUCCGACUUUUGAACGAGCGCAUCUAUUAGAUUAAAACCAAUCGGGUUAUUAGCCCGUUAAUUGGUGACUCUGAAUAGCUAUGGCUGAUCGCAUGGUCUUGUACCGGCGACGUAUCUAUCAAGUGUCUGCCUUAUCAACUUUCGAUGGUAGUUUAUGUGCCUACCAUGGUUGUAACGGGUAACGGAGAAUAAGGGUUCGACUCCGGAGAGGGAGCCUGAGAAACGGCUACCACAUCCAAGGAAGGCAGCAGGCGCGCAAAUUACCCACUCUCAGAAUGAGGAGGUAGUGACGAAAAAUAACGAGACCGUUCUCUUUGAGGCCGGUUAUCGGAAUGGGUACAAUUUAAACCUGUUAACGAGGAUCUAUGAGAGGGCAAGUCUGGUGCCAGCAGCCGCGGUAAUUCCAGCUCUCAAAGUGUAUAUCGUCAUUGCUGCGGUUAAAAAGCUCGUAGUUGGAUCUGCGUCUCAGGACCUGGUCCAUCCAUUGGAUGAGAACUGGGCUCCUAGGCUAAUAUUGCCAGUUUUCCAUACGUUACCUUGAUUGGUUGCGUAUGGUGGCUAGCAAGUUUACCUUGAAAAAAUUAGAGUGCUCAAUGCGGGCUAAUGCCUGAAUACUCGUGCAUGGAAUAAUGAAAUAGGAUCUCGGUUCUAUUUUGUUGGUUUUCUGAUCUGAGAUAAUGGUUAAGAGGGACGGACGGGGGCAUUCGUAUCGCUGCGUGAGAGGUGAAAUUCUUGGACCGUAGCGA